AGUUGUAUAUACAAAGCGGCUCGAGGAGC
rnacentral:sRNA from 1 species